rnacentral:rRNA from 1 species
GAUGAACGCUAGCGGCAGGCCUAAUACAUGCAAGUCAAGGGCUGUUUGGUGUAGAAAUACCUCAAACAACAGGCGGACGGGUGCGUAACGCGUAUGCAACCUACCCUCUACAGGAGGAUAGCCCUCGGAAACGAGGAUUAAUACUCCAUAAGAUUGCUUAGAGGAAUCUUUAAGAAAUUAAAGCCGCAAGGCGGUAUAGGAUGGGCGUGCGUGCGAUUAGCUAGUUGGUGAGGUAACGGCUCACCAAGGCGAGGAUCGGUAGGGGUUCUGAGAGGAAGAUCCCCGACACGGGAGCGGGGACACGGGCCCGACUCCUACGGGAGGGAGCAGUAAGGAAUGUUAGGCAGUGGUGGAAAGCCUUAUCCAGCCGAGCCGCGUGCAAGAAGAAGGCCCUAUGUGUUCUAAACUGCUUUUGAGAGCGAGAAAUAAGGUCGAUGCGUCGCUUGAUGACAGUACUUCACGAAUAAGCACCGGCUAACUUCGUG